ACGUAGGGAGCAAGCGUUAUCCGGAAUUACUGGGUGUAAAGGGUGCGCAGGCGUUUUGUUGUGUUAGGAGUUAAAUCUCAAGGCUCAACCUUGGGGCUGCUCCUAAAACUGGCAGAAUAGAGUGUGGAAGACGGAAGUGGAAUUUCUAGUGGAGAGGUAAAAUCCGGGGAGAUUAGAAGGAAAAAAAGUGGUGUAAAAGGAGUAAGAGUCCAUAAAUGAAGCUCAGGCAAGAAAGAUAGGGUAGCAAACAG
rnacentral:rRNA from 1 species